rnacentral:rRNA from 1 species
UACGAAGGGGGCUAGCGUUGCUCGGAAUCACUGGGCGUAAAGCGCACGUAGGCGGCUUUCUAAGUCAGGGGUGAAAUCCUGGAGCUCAACUCCAGAACUGCCUUUGAUACUGGAGAGCUCGAGUCCGGAAGAGGUGAGUGGAACUGCGAGUGUAGAGGUGGAAUUCGUAGAUAUUCGCAAGAACACCAGUGGCGAAGGCGGCUCACUGGUCCGGUACUGACGCUGAGGUGCGAAAGCGUGGGGAGCAAACAGG